GUUAUGUUAUUGUCAUCCAAUUUGUGUUGUAAACAUAUUUUGAUCCAAUAAUUCAAUUUAAUUGAAUGAAAUUGGUUCUUUUUAAAACAUAAUACAGAUACUGAAGAUAGUUGUGACUCAGAACAAGUUGAAAAAUAACCUAAAUUAGAUUUUGGAUCCUUAACUUUAUUGGAAAAGUAAAUGAGUACAUCAUCAAUGGCGAAAACUCAAUGAAAAUGAUUGAUAUUGUUAAUAAAAUUGUUGAGGAAUUGAAAAAUCAACAGUUAGCAUGUGGUUAAAGAAUAUAACAAUACUGGAAUGGGUUUAUUCCUGAGUUUGAUGAAUUUAUCAAGGUUUUGAUUGUCAUUAUAUAAAGUGUAGAACAAAAUUCAAUGAACCUUUCAAUGUUAUGAAGA